rnacentral:rRNA from 1 species
GUCUAUGGCCUGCUACCCUGAACUACCCAGCCCAAUCCUGUCUGAUCUUGGAAGCUAAGCAGGGUCGGGCCUGGUAGGACUUGGAUGGGAGACCACCUAGGAAGACUAGGUGCUGUAGGUG